AGGUGGUGUGAACCUCACAACAUACAUAUAAGUGGUACAAAGUAAGCAGGUGCUCUGGGAGAAGCUGAGGGAAAUCCUUUCCCACACCUAGUCCUUUCACUUGGGAGAUAAUUUUGUUUGAUUCUAAAGAGUACUAUGACUUCAGGGCCCAAAGAGGACAGCUCAUUGGAAAUAGUUCAGAGCGCUUAUCUCUUCAUAGGAGAUCCCAACACAAACUCAUCAUUCAUAAUGGAGAAGCAUCCACUGCACACGCCUACUACUACCAGACUAGUUUUUUCAUCUCUGAAAAAAGGGAACAGAACACUACGGUCUAGAGAGAUGUGUCACAAGCACUUCAUCCAAGAUGCAACAGCUCAUAGACUGCAAAGAAAGGCACAUACUUUGUGAAGCAACUGGCAAUUAAAUAUUUCAACUGGAUAGUCAAUUCAAGCAUUUUAACUUGAAAGACUGCCAAGAUAGAAGAAUCACUGGAACUCUCAAAUAGCGAUUUCACUAACUUUGUGAUUGAUUUAGGGUCCACGGCAUCCUUCUGUAUAUGCUAUUCUAAUUCGUAAUAUCAGUAACUGAACUUGUCAGAUGCAGCCAGAUUAUUCUCAUCAGUUAAAAAAUCCGAAAUCCAGAACAAAAGGUCCGUUUAUUUUUUACUAAUGACUAGUCAUACCUUUUGCCUACUGCCACUUAGAAGUUUUUUCCAAAUGAUUUUGACACUUCGGUUAUGGGGAAAAUUUUCCUAAAAAACAGAUUUCUUCCUUUUACUUAUGUCUGAUAAAAGCAUAUAUAUCUCAUACAUCAAAUAUAUGCCACACCCGUAUAGGUACAUCCACACACACAUGUAUCCAUACUAUAGACACAACCACACUGUUUUGCUCCCUUAGCAGAAACAAAUAGAUAUGGUAAGUUUUCUGUAUUAUCGUUUGAGUACGCUUUCUACAGAAUUCAGGAGAAGAACAAAGAUGGAUAUAUUCUUUUGCAUCUAUGUCUCUUCAUGUGAGCCCAGUUUGACAGGCCAUUUUCAGCAGAUAAAGCAUAAUAAACACAGAGAUCAGUCAAAACUUCCCUUCAGAUUUUAAGCCCCUUGGGGGGAAAGUGAGUUACUUAGUUGAGCUUGGGCUUCUGUUUUCACGUAAUCUUCUAAAGCAAGAGGCCAGUUUCCUGAAAAUAGAUCUGCAUGCAGAGACUGGCUACCAAAUUAACAUAGGGGAAAAAAAUCUCAUUGUUCGCUAGCAGGGAAACGAAAAAAAAAACCAGUUGGUAAAUUAAUAGGGGCUCAUUCAUUCUCCUUCCAGGACAUGGACAAGGAAACAGGAUGGCAGCAGCUGCUAUCUGCUGGCUCUGCUGAGUCUUUCCGUGACAUUCAACCGCGAGGAAAGAUUUUACUCAGUGAACAUUACCAUGUUUCCAUUCCUCCUUAUCCUCCAGCUCCAACAAUCAACCUGACUGUUCUGCAUUUUUUAGGCCAGGAUACUGUAGGGCUGAAUUUCUGUAACUCAGGGUAUUUCUAUUUUAAUCAUCAACAAUUUUUAGGUAUUGCAUCAUUUGAAAGGAAUGUUAUUUUUUAACAACUCUUUCUCACACAGAGAACACACUUAAAAUUGCAAAACUCUCCAUCCCCAGCAUUAAAAUCAUCACCUUUCAGGAACAUCCUUCCUAAUUGUCUCUCAGCCCACAAGCCAUGAGAAUGUGUUUCCAUUUCAAAAUCCAGUCUUCACUGUCGUACUUUAUAUGAUGCUUUUUGAGCAGCUUGCCCUUCUUUGGAUUUUUUUCUUCCAAAUCUGAUAGGAAAGUUGGAGCCUGAAAUGUGAAUCCAUAAACCACACCAGUAACUCUCGUGUGGCAAAAGCGGAACAGUGGAAAUACAUUGUUUUCAUUGAAGUGAAAUGCCAGUCUGUUCUUGCAUGAGCGAACUGGAUUAAGAUAACUUCCCUUGGGGAUUCAGGUUCACAAGGAGACUGUAUCUGACUACAAGACUUCUUUAAGAACGUAGUUUCAAAAUGCUACGGACAUCAGGUUACAACAGUCCUGACUGGAGAAAGUAAACCAGAAUAGAGAUGCAACUGUUACUGCUAUGGAGCUGAUCACCUAGUUGUAAGUCCUUCUCUCUCAACUCACAUGCCUUUAGUGAAAGCUUUCCUGCAGGAAGCAGAUGAACAAGGAGCGCAAGACCCGGAGCCGCGCUUCUGAGUUGAAGUCCUGGCUAUGCUAUUUACUAGCUAUGUGAUCCUGGGCAAUCAUUUAAUUUUUCUGAGGUUGAUUAUCCUGAUCUAGAGAAUGGAGACAUAAAUUCCUAGACUGCAGUGGUUGUUAGGGUUAUACGUAAUUCAGUAUAUGGAAACAUUCUAUAAUUUUUAAAGCACUACACAAACAUUUAUUUUAUUAGAUGGAUCAGCACCCCGGAGCGCCUUUUCAGGGUGAAGCACAAAAUGAACUGAGAAAUGGACGGGAAGGUACUCUGAAAAAUAGGGACAGCUUCCAUUUUUGGAACACUCUGCGCCAGAUACUGCUGCAUGCUUUAAUAUGCAUUUUCUCAACGUUCAAAACCACCUGACAAGGUUGGUGGUGUCAUCUCCAUUUCCCAGGUGAGGGAACAGAGAUUUAGAACGGGGACAUGACUUGCCCUUGGUCACAAAGCUUGUGGAGGGCAAGACCAGGGUGCAAAGCGGGAUUUGCCCGAAUCCAGGCCCAGGCUUUUAGCCGUGAGUCUCUGCUGGCUCAGUGCUUUAUAGAGACUGUAACGGCUAUUCUCCACGUGGCCGGAUGGAACUUUGAAUGUAAACUGGCUCCGAUUUCAGGGUUUCACCAAUAAGCACAUGAGCAAACCAUUAAAACCAGCUUUGGUUCUGAUCAGCAGAAGCAGCACCCAACAACCCACCAAGAGGACGGCGACAACUUGGAAAUUAGUAGGAUUUGGCUAGCACUGAACGGUCGGAGACCUGGACGCUCAGCCACACACGUGAUUCGCAGUGUGCCCUUAAGCAAGCCACAUCUUCUCUAAAGUUUGGCUUCCUGCUAAUCUAAAGGAGGCUCAAGUCAAAAGAGCAUAGUGACUAGCCCAACACUCAUUCACAUAAUUAUGACAGCGCUAAAAUAAUGUCUCUAAAAUACAGCCCCGCAGUUUAUCCUUCUAAGUUCCCCGUUUCUAAGAGGCAGUAUGGCGACAUGGUCACAUGUAGACUUCUGGAGGCAGAAUGCAAGCUCUGCAAUUCGCUCCCUGCACAACCCUGGGUAACUUAGGUUAACUCUCAGUGUCUCAGUCUCCUCAGCUGUUUAAAAUAAGGAUGAUGAUAGUACCCACCACACCUAAGGUUGCUGUGACAAUUAAAUAAAUCAGGUACAGCAAUUCGAACUAGCAAUGGCACAACGUAAAUACUCAAUAAAUGAUAGCCACGAUGACAGAAAUAAUAAAUCAUUUUUCCCUUAGCACAUUAUAAGCAGAGAGGUGGCUAAGAGAUCUGCCACAGCUUGUAAAUGGAAAAAGCUCACAGAUCCUGCUUCCGUCCAUUUCAUCGUACAUGGAUACAUGUCAGCCCAGCUGACUGCAGAGGAAUCCGACAAAUACUAAAAUCGGAAGACGCCCUCAGAUCUACAAAUGGCAUCUCCAACUGAAUUAACUGAAAUGAGUAUCUUUAAUAUUUUUUACCUUCUUCUCCUCUUCCCAUUCUAAGACCUGAAUACGGGAUCUGUACCCUUCCUUUUAAGCAGGAGUUCACGUUAUAGACUUUUCCCACUGCUAAGUUAGGAGUUGAGGGUUUAAGAGAAAAGGAAUAGAGAUCAACCCUGAUGACCAUUUAAAAAAAUUUAUGGGGAAUCAGCCAGGAACAAAAUAAAACGAAACUCGCUUGAGGUUGAUUUUACGAGCACAAGCCUCUACUUACACAGGAGUGUGAGAGCAACCUGUUGACAGAUAUUUUCCAGGCACAGAAAUCCUCAGGAGGCAACCGCUCAGAAGAUCAGCACCUGGAAUUUAAAUGACAGUAUGAGCCCUUAGGAAAUCUCCCAGAGCAACAGAGGAAGUAAAAGUCAGUUGUUUUCUCUUGUUCCUCCGCCAACGUCAUAAAGAGAUGAAUUUUUAAAAACAAGAAAUAAGGAGCACCUUCUCCUUCCUGCUGCAUAGGUUGGGAAAGUUCCUGCACAGUGAGCGGUGGACAUGCUCCUCACUGGUGCGUCCACCGACACGAGGCUGUGCGUUUCGCAGAUCAUUAAGGUUUGCUCAGCAAGAGGUCUUAUGAAAUAAAACAUGGUAUAGACCUAUAGCUCCAGUCACGGAAGAAAGGCAUGAAAGCAGCCCGCACAGAAGACAGGGAGAGGUUUCUAUUUUCAAAAUUGGUUUCGCAACCUCAGGCUGCAGCAGCACAGACUGCAGAGGCCAGCAGAGGGCAGCAGCAGUCUGCAAGUGCAACCUUCUCUCACUGCUCCGCGGUCAAGCGGAGGAAAUACAGAACAGAAACCCCACGAUGUUCUCUCCUGUGUAGUCUAAGUUUAAAGCUGGAGUGCACCUUUUGCCACAUUAUAGGAAAGGAGGCCCGUGUUGUAGAGGUCUUCGUUUUUGAAAACUCAUCGUUCAAGGUGUACUUCAGUCUUCCAUGCACGUGACCUGCCACAGCCACUGGGAGUGCCUUCAUAACAGCCCCAAGGAGGGUUCCUUAGAAGGGGCUUAAGUCCCAAAAGCUCACAUUUCACCCAGCAAGGGGCUGCGUGACUCAGCAGUGUGAGGAAGAAAAGUCUGUCCUGUCAGAUUACUAUCUAUUGCAAUUUCCAAGUGAACAAUUACAACCCCAUGGAGGAACAGAAACAUGGCCGAGGCCAGUGGAUGGGGUGAUAUGGUCUAGACACGUGCAUCAGACAGACUGGGGAAGACAACGCACUGUGGUUCACAGGUGUGAUCUUUAAGCCGAGCGCUGGAGGACAUGUUCUUUAGCGACUAUGCUCACACACUUCAAGAUGCUAUCAAAACACGGACGUAAUACGUUCGGAAGAUUCUUGAAAGUUGGGAUUAAAAUUCAAGAAGAUCUUGACCAGGAAGAGAAAUGGCUGAGAAAAGCCAUUGUUAUAUUCAACACUGUCUUAUGACAGAAAGAUAAAUCUAAAAUAUUCAAGCUGAGAGGAAAAGGAAGGAGGAUCUAUCAGGGUAAACAUAAAAUUCAAACUGACAUGGAGCUAUUAAAUCACACGGCUUUGGAAUAUUUAAAUACUAAUUUAAAAUAAUAGCAUGUUUCCGAAAUUGUCUGUUCAUAAAAAUGACGACAGGACCCAGAGUCAGUGAGGAGCUCUUCCCCUCAAAGGGGCAGCGAGGGCGGGCGAGGGGCUUUCUGCUCCAACACGAAUAGA
ensembl:lncRNA